UAUGUAUGUAUGUAUAUAUAUAUAUAUAUAUCAAAGUAAGCACAUAAAUGUGAAACAAAGUGGAAAAAUAAGUACUCAAACACCAGAAGUAGAGUAAUAAGCUUUAU